CUACAGGUGAUGGACAGGCUAUUCAACUUCACCUUCGGGUGAUAAACAAGUUAUUCAGCUUCACCUUCGGGUGAUAAACAAGUUAUUCCGCUUCACCUUCAGGUGAUGGAUAGGAUUUAGAUUCAAGGCACACGAUCCCGACAUCAGGACUUUACAACUUAGUUAUCCUCAAGUCUUCUCAACAUAGGUGGUGCAAAAAUUGGAUUUACAUCACAACAAAGAGAAGCAAAGGGCCUUGAAAUCAGUCUUCGGACUUACAAGUAUCAGUUUUUUUUUUUAAGCAUGUUGGCUUAAUUUGGCUCUAUGAAAAACUUGAAACUCAUUCAUUAGCAUCUACUGAGUUCUUUGUAUGGAUUGGAGCUUGGUUUUUAGCCCUGGUUUCAGCCACAUUCAUCAAAAUAGGACUAAAUAUGGGAAUGAAAAUUUGUCCAGUUUUAUGUUUUUAUAUCA